GCCAGACUCCUACGGGAGGCAGCAGUGAGGAAUAUUGGUCAAUGGGCGGGAGCCUGAACCAGCCAAGCCGCGUGAGGGAAGAAGGUACAGCGUAUCGUAAACCUCUUUUGUCAGGGAACAAAGGCGGGGACUAGUCCCCGGAUGAGGGUACCUGAAGAAAAAGCAUCGGCUAACUCCGUGCCAGCAGCCGCGGUAAUACGGAGGAUGCGAGCGUUAUCCGGAUUUAUUGGGUUUAAAGGGUGCGCAGGCGGUCUGUUAAGUCAGCGGUCAAAGCCCGGGGCUCAACCUCGUCGAGCCGUUGAAACUGGGUGCCUUGAGUGGGCGAGAAGUACGCGGAAUGCGUGGUGUAGCGGUGAAAUGCAUAGAUAUCACGCAGAACUCCGAUUGCGAAGGCAGCAUACCGGCGCCCAACUGACGCUGAAGCACGAAAGCGUGGGUAUCGAACAGGAUUAGAUACCCUCGUA
rnacentral:rRNA from 1 species